rnacentral:tRNA from 2 species
GCCACAAUAGCGUAGUUGGUAGCGCAAAUCAUUCGUAAUGAUUAGGUCGCCGGUUCGAGUCCGGCUUGUGGCU